rnacentral:tRNA from 1 species
GCAGUCGUAGCCUACUGGUUAGGGCUUUGGGCUUAUAACCGGAGGUUUGCCGGUUCGAUCCCCGACCA